rnacentral:rRNA from 1 species
GACGAACGCUGGCGGCGUGCUUAACACAUGCAAGUCGAACGCUGAAGCACCAGCUUGCUGGUGUGGAUGAGUGGCGAACGGGUGAGUAAUACGUGAGUAACCUGCCCUUGACUCUGGGAUAAGCCCGGGAAACUGGGGCUAAUACUGGAUGCUACAUGUCACCGCAUGGUGGUGUGUGGAAAGGGUUUACUGGUCUUGGAUGGGCUCACGGCCUACCAGCUUGUUGGUGAGGUAAUGGCUCACCAAGGCGACGACGGGUAGCCGGCCUGGGAGGGUGACCGGCCACACUGGGACUGAGACACGGCCCAGACUCCUACGGGAGGCAGCAGUGGGGAAUAUUGCACAAUGGGCGAAAGCCUGAUGCAGCGACGCCGCGUGAGGGAUGACGGCCUUCGGGUUGUAAACCUCUUUCAGCAGGGAAGAAGCCACAAGUGACGGUACCUGCAGAAGAAGCGCCGGCUAACUACGUG